rnacentral:rRNA from 1 species
GACGUGCAUUAGCUAGUUGGUAGGUAACGGCUACCAAGGCGAUGAUGCAUAGCCCGAGUUGAGAGACUGAUCGGGCCACAUUGGGGACUGAGACACGGGCCCAAAAACUCCUACGGGAGGCAGCAGUAGGGAAUCUUCCACAAUGGACGCAAGUCUGAUGGAGCAAACGCCGCGUGAGUGAAGAAGGGUUUCGGCUCGUAAAGCUCUGUUGUUGGUGAAGAAGGACAGGGGUAGUAACUGACCUUUGUUUGACGGUAAUCAAUUAGAAAGUCACGGCUAACUACGUGCCAGCAGCCGCGUAAU